AGCGACGACGACGAACGCUGACACCAGUCCAGCAAGCAGCGGGUGACACAUCCGAGUCAUUUCGACUGUCUGUGAUGUUCCCAGAGAAACUGACAUUCUCUGCCAGGGCGGAUGAGUUCAUCAACGUCUCUAAAGACGUAAAAACCGACACAGAAGUCCAGUGUGUGUGUAACAAAUGCCUCUGUGUCGACGGACGGAGAUGAAUUU